CCAUAUUGAAAUACUGGUUCUUGUAUGAUCACCAAAGUUAAGCAGUGUCAAGCCUGGUCAGUACCUAGAUGGGUGACUGCUUAGGAAUACCAGUUGCUGUAAG